GCCAGGUACAGUGGCACACACCUGUAAUCUCAGCAACUUGGGAGGCUGAGGCAGGAGAAUCACGGGUUCAGGACCAGUCUCAGUAACUCAUUGAGGCCCUAAGCAACUUAGUGAGACCCUGUCUCAA
rnacentral:sRNA from 1 species